rnacentral:rRNA from 1 species
AGGACGAACGCUGGCGGCGUGCUUAACACAUGCAAGUCGAGCGAGGCCCUUCCUUCGGGAAGGUGCCCUAGCGGCGAACGGGUGAGUAACACGUGGGCAACCUGCCCCUAGCACUGGGAUAACUCCGGGAAACCGGGGCUAAUACCGGAUAUGACCUUUGAGGGCAUCCUCGAAGGUGUAAAGGAUUCUGGCUAGGGAUGGGCCCGCGGCCUAUCAGCUUGUUGGUGGGUAACGGCCUACCAAGGCGACGACGGGUAGCCGGCCUGAGAGGGCGACCGGCCACAUUGGGACUGAGACACGGCCCAGACUCCUACGGGAGGCAGCAGUGGGGAAUAUUGCACAAUGGGCGAAAGCCUGAUGCAGCGACGCCGCGUGAGGGAUGACGGCCUUCGGUUGUAAACCUCUUUCAGCAGGGACGAAGCGAAGUGACGGUACCUGCAGAAGAAGCACCGGCAACUACGCGCCAGCAGCCGC